rnacentral:sRNA from 1 species
UUGAAAGCACUGGAAACUGAAGUCCUGUUUUUGUCCAUUAAACAGGUACAGCUUGAGCAGCAGCAGUGCAAGUUUCGCCACACUGCUCCACCAAUGUGCUGCAAACCCUGACCUGGAGGGACACCUCUAGGAAGGGGUCUGAAGCUUCUUCAGUCUCCGUGCUCAUUCAAUCGUUACU